GCGAGGAUGGCGGAAUUGGUAGACGCACCGGAUUUAGGUUCCGGCGGGCCUCGCCCGUGAGGGUUCGAGUCCCUCUCCUCGCA
rnacentral:tRNA from 1 species